rnacentral:rRNA from 1 species
ACUAGUGAAUAAGGGGUGGGCAAGUUCUGGUGUCAGCCGCCGCGGUAAAACCAGCACCUCAAGUGGUCAGGAGGAUUAUUGGGCCUAAAGCAUCCGUAGCCGGCUCUGUAAGUUUUCGGUUAAAUCCAUGUGCUCAACGCAUGGGCUGUCGAAAAUACUGCAUAGCUAGGGAGUGGGAGAGGUAGACGGUACUCGGUAGGAAGGGGUAAAAUCCUUUGAUCUAUCGAUGACCACCUGUGGCGAAGGCGGUCUACCAGAACACGUUCGACGGUGAGGGAUGAAAGCUGGGGGAGCAAACCGGAUUAGAUACCCGGGUAGUCCCAGCUGUAAACGAUGCAGACUCGAUGAUGCAUUGGCAUAUAGCCAGUGCAGUGUCGCAGGGAAGCCGUUAAGUCUGCCGCCUGGGAAGUACGUACGCAAGUAUGAAACUCUAAGGAAUGGGCGGGGGAGCACCACAAAGCGUGAAG